CAGUGAUGAUGGCAAAGAGGCCACACCCGUUCCCAUCCCGAACACGGAAGUUAAGCUCUUUUGCGCCGAUGGUAGUUGGGGGUCUCCCCCUGUGAGAGUAGGACGUCGCUGGGCU
rnacentral:rRNA from 1 species